AAUGAACGUUGGCGGCGUGGAUUAGGCAUGCAAGUCGCGCGAGAAGUCAUUUAGCUUGCUAAAAGACGGACAGCGGCGGAAGGGAGAGUAACGCGUGGUUAUGUACUCUCGAGACCGGGAUUGUGUCGGGAAACAGGCAGUAAUAUCGGAUAACCUCUUCCGAUCAAAUCGUGUGAGUCCGCCCGAGGUUCCGACAGCGUACGAUUAGCUCGUUGGAGGGGUGAUGGCCCACCGAGGCUUACAUAGUUACCGGGUGUGAGAGCAUGGCCGGGCUGACUGGGACUGAGACACUGCCCAGACAUCUACGGAUGGCUGCAGUCGAGAAUCUUCGGCAAUGGACGAAAGUCUGACCGAGCGACGCCGCGUGCGGGAUGAAGGCCUUCGGGUUGUAAACCGCUGUCAGUUAGGAGGAAAUCCAUGAGGGUUCUCUCUCAUGGUUGACCGAUUUUCAGAGGAAGGACGGGCUAAGUUCGUGCCAGCAGCCGCCGUAACAC
rnacentral:rRNA from 1 species